rnacentral:sRNA from 1 species
GGCCUUUGAAGACAUGGAGCCAUAGAGGAGAACCAAGUGCUGGAUGUGGGCUUUUUCAUGGGCAUCUGUUUUGAGGAAAAAGGUUGUAAAUGUUUUUGUCUUAUUUUCAUAGCAUUGGGAAUGGUACCACCUCCCGAAAAUGUCAGAAUGAAUUCUGUUAAUUUCAAGAACAUUCUACAGUGGGAGUCACCUGCUUUUGCCAAAGGGAACCUGACUUUCACAGCUCAGUACCUAAGCCAUUAUUGGACCCCCUGGAAUGCAAGUAGAAGUACUUGCUGAUUCUUUACAUAUGCGUUUCUUAGCCCCUAAAAUUGAGAAUGAAUACGAAACUUGGACUAUGAAGAAUGUGUAUAACUCAUGGACUUAUAAUGUGCAAUACUGGAAAAACGGUACUGAUGAAAAGUUUCAAAUUACUCCCCAGUAUGACUUUGAGGUCCUCAGAAACCUGGAGCCAUGGACAACUUAUUGUGUUCAAGUUCGAGGGUUUCUUCCUGAUCGGAACAAAGCUGGGGAAUGGAGUGAGCCUGUCUGUGAGCAAACAACCCAUGACGAAACGGUCCCCUCCUGG